UACAAGGAUGAGACAGUUAUGUCCCUUUAGUACCUGAAUGACAAGCUCAAGAUUGUGGGUGUUGCAGUGUCUGGUAACAACAUGAACAUUUAAUUCAAAUCUGCAACUUAAGAACAAAACUACAUAUCUAGCCUUAUCCUUUGCUGUCACUUCUGUGUUACUGAAGCCAACGUUGGCUUGCUCUUGCCUCUGGUUACCUUGUCUGAAAUCAGUCAUGGCUGACGACUCUCAGAGAAACUUUCGCUCGGUGUAUUAUGAAAAAGUGGGGUUUCGUGGAGUUGAAGAGAAGAAGUCACUGGAAAUUUUGUUAAAAGAUGACCGGUUGGAUAUUGAGAAGCUUUGCACGUUUAGUCAAAGGUUCCCUCUCCCAUCCAUGUAUCGUAUACUGGUGUGGAAGGUUCUUUUAGGAAUUAUUCCUCCUCACCAUAAAUCUCAUGCCUCGGUGAUGAACUACCGGAAGGAGCAGUACUGGGAUAUACACCAUGCUCUUCAUGUAAUUCGUUUUAUCAAUGAUUCUACCCCACAGGUAGAUGUUUUCCUCCGCAUACAUCAACUUGAAUCAGGAAAAUUGCCUCGAAACUUGGCAUUUCCUUUGGAGCCAGAAGAUGAAGUGUUUCUUGCUAUUGCUGAAGCAAUGGAGGAAAUGGUGGAGGAUCCUAUAGAAUGCUAUUGGCUUGUCAGUAGCUUUGUUAAUCAGCUGAACAGCAAGCACAAAGAUGCAUUACAACAACUGCCAAAAAUUCUGGAGCAGUAUUUGAACAUUGAAGAUAACAGACUACUAAUGCAUCUAAAAGCAUGUGCUGCAAUGAGCAGACUCCCUUAUGAUCUUUGGUUCAAAAAGUGUUUUGCAGGCUGUUUACCUGAGUCCAGUUUACAGAGAGUUUGGGACAAAAUUAUUAGUGGGUCCUGCAAAAUUCUUGUUUUUGUUGCUUUGGAGAUAUUAUUAACCUUUAAAGUGAAAAUAAUAGCACUGACUACAGCAGAAAAGAUCACCCAAUUUUUGGAAAAUAUGGAGCGAGGAUACCUAGUGGUGAUGUGAUCAUGUCCAGAGUGUUUCUUGGCCAGCCAGCUACAGUAUUCUGAUUGCACAGUGUGUUCCAAGCCUUUUGGGGAUGUAAAUCUAACUCCUGAAACAAGAAUUAGAGCUACUUGCUGUGUCUGGAUUUCACAGAUGAGAAAACCAAGUGCUCAAGAAAACAUUUAAAAACAAAACAAAAAUCUAGCUGUUCCCCAGUCUGUGCACAACUUCCCACAAAUGACAGAGCUGGGUAUGCAAACAGAGGACACACUGCAGUGUUCAGGCACUGAAAGGUUGUUCUUCCACUGUGUCCUGAUGUCUGAUCAGACAGUUAAGAGUUAACAUAAUAAUAAAAAAAAAAAAGCAUUGCCAUACAUUGCUGCUAUGGGGACAGACAAAUCCUGAGGUGGCCAGAGAUAGACAGCUUGCCCAGAGGUCAGCAGGGAUAUGCCACCAUGGGCUCAU